UGUCAUAGCACACCUCAAUGAAGCCCC
rnacentral:piRNA from 1 species